AACGCACAUUGCGCCCUCUGGUAUUCUGGGGGGCAUGCCUGUUCGAGCGUCAUUACAACCCUCAAGCCCAGCUUGGUAUUAGGCCUCACCGUAAGGGUGUGCUGUAAAAUCAGUGGCGGUGCCAUCUGGCUUCAAGCGUAGUAAUUCUCUCGCUUUGAGGUCCAGGUGAAAACUUGCCAGCAACCCCAAUUUUUUAUAGGUUGACCUCGGAUCAGGUAGGGAUACCCGCUGAACUUAA
rnacentral:misc_RNA from 1 species